UGCGUAGGCUGCGCUGUAAGUCGGGUGUGAAAUCCCUCAGCUUAACUGAGGAAUUGCGCCCGAUACUGCAGUGCUCGAGGGAGACAGGGGUCAGCGGAACUGAUGGUGGAGCGGUGAAAUGUGUUGAUAUCAUCAGGAACACCGGUGGCGAAAGCGGCUGACUGGGUCUCUUCUGACGCUGAGGCACGAAAGCUAGGGUAGCGAACGGGAUUAGAUACCCCGGUAGUCCUAGCCGUAAACGAUGAGCACUUGAUCGGAGACUCCUCCAUAGGUUUCCGGUCGUAGCGAAAGUGUUAAGUGCUCCGCCUGGGGAGUAUGGUCGCAAGGCUGAA
rnacentral:rRNA from 1 species